UUGCACAAAACCAGGGCCUGUAAAACAACACUUUCUUGAUCAUUCUCAAAACCAGGCCUUUCUUGAAACCUGAUUGAUGAUGAUGAUGAUGAUGAUGAUAACCCUUCAGAUUUGAACUUCUUGCAUGAGUAGGGAUUUUCGCCGGCGAUCUUCUUCAGGCGGCUAGCGGCGGCGGAGGAAGGCGGUGAUGAGUUCUGGAUCAGGCUCACGGCGUGUGAAAUGGAAAUCUUGGCCUGGUUGAGAUGAGAAACGGAGGAGCUGACGGCGUUUAGAAUGUCCAGGGAGAUUAACGUGUGGCUGAGGUAACUCUCCGUUAGUUUGCCGCUCCACCGGCUCAUGGGGUGGUCGAUUUCCACCACCAGCUUCGCGAAAGCCCUGUUGGUGGUCUGAAUCAGCUCGAAACAUUUGUCGAACCCGGUCCGGGAGAGAAAGUACUUCUCGGGUUUCGACCAUGUUUGGGUGAUGAAACCGGAGAUUCUUGACCGGAAAUUGUGCAGAGAAGCUGACAGGUUGCCGGAGCUCCGGUGGUUGGAGGAGGGGAAUUUGAGGGGAAGGGCUAGUUUGUGUAGUAAGAGUACCAUGGGUUUAGAAAAGUACAACAGAAGUUUUUGGGUCCAAAGUUAUGUUUAUCUAAUUUGGUGUGUGUGUGUGUGUGUGUGUUUUGGUGUGUGUAUUGUAUCUAUAUAUAUAUAUAUAGGUAAGGAGUAGAUGGUUUUUGUCUGAAAACAAGUGGUGGUACCAAGUUUCUUGUACUGGUUUAUUGACGUGUUGACGUGUUGUUUUGUUUAAUGUUGGUUUGCUGGUCAAAGUCAAACAGUCUUAUCCGGUGCACACGCGCUGGGCCGCGAUUGGGUCUAUUUGGUGCUUCUUCUCCACGCUAAUCAUCAUCACCCGAUAAUUAUGAUUUAUUAUUCUCUCUUUUUGGAAGAUUUAAAAAUAUAAAGAAAGUAAACAAUACAAAUCAAGAACCCGGUUGAACGAGUUGAACCCAACGUGACUCAAAUGAAGUUUAAUUCCAAUUUUGCACCAUUGAAAUGAAGAUUUUUGACACUUUGCACCAUUGAAAAAUAAUAAUAGCACUUGGCAACAUUAAAAUACAAUAAAUUAUUCACAAUUCAUCAUAAAUUGAAUGAAAAUGAUAAUUCAUUUUUUAUUGGUCUUUUUUUUUUCUGCGAUGAAAAAUAAUAAAUUAAAUUGUUAUUUUCUUCAACCUCCAACCUAAUUUCUAGUACACAAAUGUCGAAAUGAUAAAAAUUACACUCGAUAACUGAAAAUAAUAAAUAAAAUCAAAUAAACUUUUUAUCAUUAAAUUAUUCGAUAAAUCAAAUAUUUUAACGUAAAAUUUAUGUAAUUCGGUUAUUUACCGAACCAAAUCGUAUAUUUAGUUCGGUAAAUGGUAUGAAAUGUUGACGUACCGAAAUUUUGUUGCGGUUUUACCAAAUUAAUAUCCCUAAAUUUACCUCUGGAGGGGUCUUUUCGUAAGAUAAAUACAUAGUUGAGGAGGUGGCUGUAACUACCCAAACAGGGGGGGGGGGGGGGGGGGGUUCGUAAUUUGACCAUAGCUCAGAGGGUGACCGUAAUUUGCCCUAAAUGUCAUCUACAUCUAUUCUCAAUCAAAAAUGUAUAUAUAUUUUUCAUGAUCUUAUGUUAAUAUUUAAAGAACUAAUUCAAUUAUAUAUGUAUUUCUAGUAUUUAUUAAUUUAUUUAUAGUUUAUUCAAUUAAUUGUAAGAAUAUAAUAUUUCAUUACAUUAAAAAAAAUUCGUUAAAGUUAACUAAGUUAUACAACGAAGGACUAUAUUGAAGUAGAGUUGAAGGAUGAUAAUGAGAUAAUUAGAACAUGAGAACCUAACGUAGGACUAAAUACUAAGACGAGGAAUUAUUAGUGAUUUACUAGUUAGCAAAAUUAUAUUGCAACUACCAUGCAGAGUGUUGAGUACUAUAGAGUCAAAUAAAUCAUAAACAUUUUAUUUCAUUAGUACUUUCUUUAUUACUAAUUAAUUUACAUCUUCUUGAUUUUCUCAGCUGUUGCAUUUACAGAUAUGUUACAUUUAUUAAUACUAGUUAAAUGUACAAGUAACUAAUUAAAGGGGUUAUAUGAGAUAACCCAUCAUACAAUUUCAUUAGAGGUUUAAAUCCAUUUUUAUAUUCACUAUUAGGAACAAUCCCUUACUUAGCAUAAUACCCAUUUAUCCCUAUUAUAUUCAUAAAAAAUAUUAAAAAUUAAUGUCAAUUAGAUUAAUAUAUGCAAACACCCACAUUCAGUUUUUUUUCUUUCGAUUUCCUUUAAAUAAAAAUUGAUUUUUUUUUAUUUCUACUUAAAAAAAAUAGUUAUUUAUUUAUUAUUUUUAGUUUUUUCAAUUAUUUUUAUUUGUUUAUUAUUUUUAAUAUUCGUUUUUUUUAAUAUUAAUUUUUUUUCGAUUUAUUCUUUUAAUUAAUAUUUUUUAUUGAUUUUUUUCACUUUACCAAAUUGAAAUUCACUAUACUUAUCGAAUUUCACUAUAAAUAUUUCAAAAUUUAAUGAAAUACUAUAAAAUUAACACAAUCCACUAUUUUACUGCCUGAAUUUGAAAUCCACUAUUCACUUUAUAAAUUUGAAAUCCACUAUUCACUGUUUGAAAUUCACUAUUUAUUGUCUGAAUUUUAAAACUAUUUAUUGUCUGAAUUUGAAAGCCACUAUUCACUGUUCGAAAUCCACUAUUUAAUGUCGGAUGAGAAUUCAAAAACCACUAUUUACUGUAAGCGCAUUGACACCCCUCCUCUAUUGCUCGCGCCUGCAUAGUAUAUUUUGUUUGAAAUCCACUACAAAAUUCAUCAAAAACACUACAAAAAUAUAUAAAUUCAUUAUAAAAGAAUCACUUUACAAAGAGAAAAUCCACUAAAAACUUGCCUAAAUCCACUACAAAAGUCCCUCUAAUAAACAAUGUCAUCGCAUACAAUAGUAGAUUCACCCGGGCAUCACCCAACCUCGUCCCACUUGUUGCCAUCACUCCUUGUGCAAGAACUUGAACCAAAGGAAAAGAAGACAAAUAACGUGUAAAUUUAAUUCAUUCAAAACAAAAUCGAUCUACAAAGCAAGAAUUUUAAAUCUACUACAAUCUCAUCCAAGCCCACUACAAAAAAUAUCGAAAUCCACCAAAAUAUUAACAUAAUCCACUGCGAAAUUACCCUAAUCCACUACAAAAUAAUUGCAAAAAUAUUAAUGUAAUUCACUACGAAAUUAAACUAAUUCACUACGACAAAUCCCCUUUUCAAAGACAAAAUUGAGUUCAAUUAUAUCGAAAUUCACUAAAAUAGUAGCGUAAACCACUACGGAAUUAACAUAAUCCACUACAACAAAUCACCUUUUCAGAGAGAAAAUCCAAUUCAAAACAAGAAUUACAAUCUAAUUACAAUCAAAUUAUUAUUUUUAGUUGAAAACCAUGAUUAUUCAUAGUUGAAGUCAAUAUCUCCAAUUUCCAAGUACUAUUUAUCUUCAUCAAAUAAUAAACAAAACUUAGAUUUUCAGGCCUAUAUGUGUCUCAUUCAUAAUUACAUUUAAAUUCAUAACAAUUUCACGAAUCGUGAAAUUUCAGCCAAUUAAAACACCAUAAAAUUGAGUAAUAUCAAAUAUGAACCAAAUUUAACGCAUGUGUAUGUUUGUCUAAUGAAUUUAAGAAUCAUAAUUAAAUAUGUGAGGGGUUUUCCCCUAAUUAAACCACUAAAAAUCAGAGGUAAUUAGGAAUUAAUUAUGUCCUGUACUUAGCCUAAGAUUGUCUAGCAACUUAUUUCUGGCAGCUAAAAUUUCCGAAAACAGAUGAUUCGUUUGCUUUUCGACGCUCUCGAUUAAAUUUUCCAUCUCGUUUAAUCGAAUCUUCAAUUCCUCCACCGAAAAUUCUUCGAUAGCCCUGUUUACUUGUCUCACCUCUUCCAUAACUAUUGUAUUUCCCUGGAUUUCUUGGCAGAAUGUCAAAUCCAGGUCUUUUAUCAGGGAAUCAUCGUAUCCUCCGGCGAGUUUCCUGAUUUCCAUGUACGUUUUCGCAUCGCCGCAAAAACCCGAUAAGACGAAACCGAGCGCCAUAAACCCGAUUUUCUCGGACAAAACCAGGGCCUGAAAAACGGCACUUUCUUGCUUGUCGGAACCAGGCCUUGAUUGAAACCUGAUUGAUGAUGAUGAUGAUGUCGAUUUGGGUUUGAAGUUCUUGCAUUGGUUUUCUCCGGCGAUCUUCUUCAGGUGGUUAGCGGACGAACUCACGGCGUGGGAAACGGAAAUCCUGGCCUGGUUGAGAUGGGAAACGGAAGAGCUGACGGCGUUUAGAAUGUCCAGGGAGAUUAACGUGUGGCUGAGGUAACGCUCCGUCAGUUUGCCGCUCCACCGGCUCAUGGGGUGGUCGAUUUCCACCACCAGCUUCGCGAAAGCCCUGUUGGUGAUCUGAA
rnacentral:lncRNA from 1 species